rnacentral:rRNA from 1 species
UACUCGAGUGGCGAACGGGUGAGUAACACGUGGGUGAUCUGCCCUGCACUUCGGGAUAAGCCUGGGAAACUGGGUCUAAUACCGGAUAGGACGAUGGUUUGGAUGCCAUUGUGGAAAGUUUUUCGGUGUUGGAUGAGCUCGCGGCCUAUCAGCUUGUUGGUGGGGUAAUGGCCUACCAAGGCGUCGACGGGUAGCCGGCCUGAGAGGGUGUACGGCCACAUUGGGACUGAGAUACGGCCCAG